AUGAAGGUAAGGGGCCCCAACCCCACCGAAGCCGUGCUCUGCACAUGGCAUUCUUCCACGGCGAACUGGGUCGUCACCAAGGCCGCGGGCUUUCCCUCCGAGCUUUGCUAUCCCUGCCACCUCUUCCAGGUAGACAUGUGCUUCGCGUUUCGAGGCUCCACCCUCUGCUGGGUGGAUCUGUCCAAAGGCAUGGUGGUCUGUGAUCUGCGCGCGGUGAUCCAGCAUGGCGCCGGCCCAGAGUUCCGCUUCGUCCGGUUGCCUGGAGGGUGCCGGACCUAUGACCGUGGCCAGCGCGAGCGGCUACCGAACCCAGAGGAGUUCCGUAACAUGGCCUGCGUUGGCGGCAGCAUCAAGUUCGUCACCAUGGAUGGCUACGGCGAGCGGCCCGGCAGCCAAGUGACCAUGACCGUCUGGACGCUGUCGCCGGACCUCUGCAGUUGGAAGAAAGGUGUGGUGUACCAUGUGAGCGACAUCUGGGCAAGCGAGAGCCACAUCUCGCUAGGCUUGCUGCAGGCGUUGCCGUCGUUCCCGGUGCUGAGCGUGGACGAAGACGACGUCGUCUACCUAUCCUUCACUGAUCUGGACGUGACGGUCGAAGGUCGAGUGGAGUUCAAAAGCCAGUAUUUGCUUCGCGUCGACAUGCAGCACAACGAGGCGGACGCCGCGGCGCGCGCGGUGGCGUGGCUGCUGCUCGCGGCCUACCUGCAGCUCGAGUACGGCGGCCGCGGGGAGGAGCGCUUAGCCGCGCCGCUCAAACUGAUCUGGUGGGCGCUCUUCCUUCUCCUCUCCGUCCACGCCGCGACGAGCCUCUGCUACAGGCUCCCCGUGCCCACCCUUCCGUCGGUGCGCGACGACGUAGAGGUCCUCGCAGCCAGCGAUGCCAAUGCCAACCCAGCUCAGCAGCCCCAACAAUAUGUGCAGGCUGGCUAUCAACGCGCCACGACGGAGAGCCACGACGGCGAGCAGAGGGGAGGAGCAACGACAGUCGAAGGACACCACCAAUCGCCGGCGACCCCGCGCCGCCGCCGCCUUUCCCCGGACCCCUGGAUGAGCUCGAGCUCCACGAUGGAGGCGGCAAUGACAACAGCGCUCCUCUCUGCAGACGAGGUGUUUGUUAAAAUGCCAGAGAAAAAGAGAGGAGGAGGAAGAAGAAUGACCGCCAGGAGCGGUGGCGAGCUCUCCAUUGCAGCGGUGGGAGGGAGCGCCGACGAGCGCUCCAUUGCAGCUCCGGCGAGAUGCAUCUCAGCCCCGAGACAGCUUCAAAGCAACAUUGCCGGAGUUGCAAUGUCCCUGUCGGCCCACUCCCCGCGGUCACCGUCGCAGCGCUACUCCCACCAUUGCAGCUCAGGCAGCCACGCCGUGCUCAAAUCGCAGCUCGACGGCCAUGCGCAGAUGCUCCCCGUCGCAGCAGCAUCAUCUACGACGGCCAUGGCGGGCGGUGGUUGCGUGUCGAAGCUUUCCUCGACUCAUGACACCGCGGUCGCUGCAGCGCAGCGGUGCCCCACGCAGCUGCAGCAGUCCGUCGCCCGGCCGGGGGAGGGGGGAGUCUGGGUCUUGCUGAAGCGGAUGAUUGACAUCGAGCACGAACCGAGCGAAACAGGAGGAGAUGCGUCGAUCCGCGGCACCAAGAGCCUAGUAUCAAGCCAACAAGACAGAAGAGACGCCGUCCUCGCCUACCUGCGGACCCUGAAACCGGACGCCCGCUUCGCCGAUCCGCCGGAGCUGUCCUCCCUCCGCAUACUGCGGCCGGGGAUAUGCGACAGAGAUGUCACAUCCGCCUACAUCGCCAGCGGGGACAAGAACCUGGUCGCCCUCUUCGCCGAUCCUUACCGCCCCGGCACCAACUCGGAAGGAGGCUAUCUGAUCUACGACGCCGGCAACAACUCCCUCUCGGCGAUCCCCCCGCCCCCCUUUGACUACGACCGUGCCGACGUCGGCAUGGGAGCCGGCGUCCUGUGCCUCGAGGAAGGCGGCUACGUUCUUGUCGAGCUCACCACGGCAAUGGACUCCGACCCGACUGAAGCCGCACUCUACACGUGGCAGUCGUCCACCGCACAAUGGAUCUUGAAGGUCUCGAGCUUCCCCCACGAGCUGUCCUAUCCCGGCCACUUCUUCAGGGCAGACACGUGCUUCGCGCAUCGAGGCUCCAGCCUCUGCUGGGUGGAUCUGUUCAAAGGCAUGGCCGUCUGCGAUCUGCGCGCGGUGCUCCGGCACGGCGCCGACCCAGGGUUCCGCUUCGUUCCGCUGCCCGGAGAGUGCCCGACGUAUGACCGUGGCCAGAUGGACAAACGGGAAUGUCCACUUGAGGCGGAGGAGUUCCGCUGCAUGGCCUGUGUCGGCGGCAGCAUCAAGUUCGUCGCCAUGGAUGGCUACGGCGAGCGGCCCGGCAACGAGGUAACGGUGAACAUCUGGACGCUGUCGCCGGACCUCUGCGGUUGGAAGAAAGGCGCGGUGUACCACGUGAGGGACAUCUGGGCAAGCGAGAGCCACCUCUCGCUGGGCUUGCCGCAGAACUUGCCGUCGUUCCCGGUGCUAAGCGCGGACGAGGACGACGUCGUCUACCUCUUCUUCGUCGACCUGGAGGUGACGGAGGACGGUGACGCGGAGUUCAAAAACCACCAUGUGCUUCGCGUCGACAUGCAGAACAAAAAGGUCUCCCACCAUCCAAAAAGUGCAGAUGAGAUGCCUGUUCAACUCUUCAGCAGUGAAAUUCUUGCCACCGAGUGCAGUGCUUACCUACAGUGA
rnacentral:rRNA from 1 species